CUGUUACAGAUAAUUCCUAUUCAGUCUGUACUACACCCAACUGUGCUAACAGACGCAAUCACUUUUGUACUGUUCAGUCUAUAAUAUACAAAUUUAUUUUCUCUCUAAUAUGGUAUCAAUUAUGUAGGUGUUAUAUAGCAAAAGUAGAUAGUGCAGGGGUCCUCGGUAAAAGAUGAUCUACAAUCUCUCCUGGUGCGGCAGUUAAAUUCUUACGAGGAAGUACAUCUAUUGCUUCUUACCGAACCAUUUCAUGAGGUUUAUUUCCCAUUAUCUUUGUUCUAUCAACAUGAGAAUCUUAAAGACAUUGGGAGACUGCAAGAAGUACCUUCUAUCUCAAUGAUUUCGCUGGAAGCUGAGGAUUUGGCAAUUCGUUUUGUUCAAGGAUACACAGCAAAUCCUGUGUGAAAAGUUUAGAGGAUUUGACAGGCUAAAAGGCAUUACUGAUAAUCUCAGUUGGUGAUUAUUUAGUGUAUCUUUGUGGAAAUGUCGAAUGAAAAGCUCCAAUCGUUGUUGGUCAUUGGUUGCCUCUUAGGUUCAUUCAAAUUGAGCAGUUCAGCUUGCUUCUUUGUACUGUUUUAUUAGUCUUCUUAUUAGGAGGUUAAAGAGUCAGAGGAUCUUCACUUUAUAUUUCUGACGUUUUGAUUGGUUUUGCAUUGUUGAGACUGCUGCAAAGUGUACAAGAAUAAUGGAUCAUGAGCGGAAGAAUAUCGUUGUUGUCGAUAAGUCAAAUGAGGUGAGUUAUAUACAUUGAAUUGCAGACUUCCUUGGACCCAUGAAAGGUACAUAUGAACCCUGCUACUAUUUUCCUUGUUAGCUUGUUUUCUUUUCCUUCAUUUGAAUCUUUUGUUGCUUUGUUUUACUUUUCGUGGUUGGAUCUUUUUCUUGAAACUGAAGUAAUGGAAUCAGUUCUAAAGUGUUGAAGCUUUGAUAAUGAUAAGAAAGAAGUUCCACGUAAUGGUUCAUUUGUCCACUGCAAGCCAGUGGCAGAAUAUUAUCAAGUGCAUUUUACGACGACUUCGAUUUUUGCUAAGAUCCUAUUGCUUAAGUCAAGCAUGAUGUGGAUACCAUACUUGAAUCAAUUAAAAAUUUUCAUAGUGAGUUCAACAUUAAGAGAUAGAACGUUCUUCCAAGUCUUUUUCAAAUAUCACUGUCUACUGUAUUCCAGUGUACACACUGAAAAUGUAUUGGUAUUAAUUUGUGAUGGAAAAUCAAUCAUGCUUUUGAAGCACAAGUGUGGACUAAA